GAAGCAGAGAGGUUCUCCAACUUGUCUGAGGUCCAAGAAGGAGCUGGUGACAGAGACCAGAUACCGGACCAGCACUUGGGUUUUCUGACUCACGGUUCUGGGCUCACCCCUCUCUGAGCAUGCACUGAGCCUGCUCUUGCAGGUUUCUUUAUCACAGGGAUCUAUCUACACGGUACUUUCUGCUCUCAGCUUUUUACAGUGGUGUAGAGUGCAGUGCAGCUGAAACCAGGCACAGUGCCCACUUGUUCCGUGGCACAGCCCCAGAGCUCCUGUUGAAGAAACAGACUCCAGGACUGACUUUCCACUUGAUUUUAGGAGCUCGCACAUCCCGAGAGAUUCAUGUUCAAGCUGCAUUUUAGACAUAGCUGGCAAGAGUAUUUUCGUGAUGUUCCUCCUGCUGAUCAAGAGAAGCUUUUUAUCCAGAAGUUACGUCAGUGUUGCGUCCUCUUUGACUUUG
rnacentral:sRNA from 1 species